AGAAAGAAGAUAAAGGCUCCAGAUCUAGGGGACAAAAAACAGGAUGAGGUCAAAGGGGUAGGAGAAACAACAGGAAACAUCAGCAGCAUGGAAACAGGAAAGCAGAGCAUCUUGGGGGUAGAAAGAGGGGAGCAGCAGAAUAAAGAAGCGAAAGCAGCUCUGUCCGCCUGGGGAACCUUCGGGAAAGGGGGUUUGCCACACUCAGUGAAGAAGCAGCUAGAUCUCAGAGGCUGGAGCAGGAAAGGAGGGGGUCUUCGGUGGACCCGCAGGCACCCGCUGGGCUGGAGAUUUCCUCUCGGAGCAAAGGAGAGGCAUGGCCGUGUGCUUUCCAGGGCAGAGACACUGCGACGGCCAUCACCAGGUGCCGGCCAUGCCUAUUUAAUUCCGCAAUCCUCAUCCAUAGAAACACAGUCAGGUGGAGAAUGAUGUCAGCCAAUCAGGUGGGUGACGUCGCCUUCUGUGUUCUUGACUGGGGCCAUGAAAAAUACUUGGGUUUGCAGAAUAAUGGACAUAGCUAUUCUUUUCCCAGGGAUGUGGGCGGAGCAGAGCUCUUACUAAUUAUUGACAGAGAAGUCCCUGGGCCUCAGGGCCAUCCUGAAUGCUUCAGUCUGGGAAGAACUGCGUGUAACAGGCUGUAUUUACAUAAAACCGUCCCGUUCGCCUUUCAGAAAUGUUUCACAAAGAAGAAGCUACAACUGUGGAGUUCGUCUUCUGUUUCGACACUGGUGGCCGUUGGAAACUCCUUUGGCUAAGCUGCUACAGCGGGACUCCCUUGAACCACCUUUCACUUGUAUUUUUACUGUUGUUUCAAAGUUUAGUUAAAAUAAAUAACGAACAAAGAGAUGAUGUUUCCCAAAUACACUCAUCUAAUUAUCUCGUUGUAAUGUUCCUCUUUAAAUGGGUUGUCUAGUUUUUUUAGGCCC